GAUGAACGCUGGCGGCGUGCCUAAUACAUGCAAGUCGAGCGAACAGACGAGGAGCUUGCUCCUCUGACGUUAGCGGCGGACGGGUGAGUAACACGUGGAUAACCUACCUAUAAGACUGGGAUAACUUCGGGAAACCGGAGCUAAUACCGGAUAAUAUAUUGAACCGCAUGGUUCAAUAGUGAAAGACGGUUUUGCUGUCACUUAUAGAUGGAUCCGCGCCGCAUUAGCUAGUUGGUAAGGUAACGGCUUACCAAGGCGACGAUGCGUAGCCGACCUGAGAGGGUGAUCGGCCACACUGGAACUGAGACACGGUCCAGACUCCUACGGGAGGCAGCAGUAGGGAAUCUUCCGCAAUGGGCGAAAGCCUGACGGAGCAACGCCGCGUGAGUGGUGAAGGUCUUCGGAUCGUAAAACUCUGUUAUUAGGGAAGAACAAAUGUGUAAGUAACUAUGCACGUCUUGACGGUACCUAAUCGGAAAGCCACGGCUAACUACGUG
rnacentral:rRNA from 1 species